GAGUCCAGACCGAGACCCAGAGAAAUGUAAACAAACGCACCAGUCAGACUUGAUAUAGGAGUGAAUUUGUUGCUUUUUAAAGCGGCAGUCGGUCUGUACAUGUGUGAGGUGGCGAGGGGUGUCGCCAGGGGGCGGCUAGUAGCGUCUGCCACCAGGGAAAUAUGUAAAAACAUAAAAAAGACGCUUCUCAAGAAAGAGAGGGGCAGUCGGUCUGUACAUGCGUGAGGUGGCGAGAGGCGUGUCCAGGGGGCGGCUAGUAGCGUGUGCCACCGUGGAAAUAUGUACAGACAUAAAGAAGACGCCCUCAAGAAAGGCCUGAGUCCAGACCGAGACCCAGAGAAAUGUAAACAAACGCACCAGUCAGACUUGAUAUAGGAGUGAAUUUGUUGCUUUUUAAAGCGGCAGUCGGUCUGUACAUGUGUGAGGUGGCGAGGGGUGUCGCCAGGGGGCGGCUAGUAGCGUCUGCCACCAGGGAAAUAUGUAAAAACAUAAAAAAGACGCCUCUCAAGAAAGAGAGGGGCAGUCGGUCUGUACAUGCGUGAGGUGGCGAGAGGCGUGUCCAGGGGGCGGCUAGUAGCGUGUGCCACCGUGGAAAUAUGUACAGACAUAAAGAAGACGCCCUCAAGAAAGGCCUGAGUCCAGACCGAGACCCAGAGAAAUGUAAACAAACGCACCAGUCAGACUUGAUAUAGGAGUGAAUUUGUUGCUUUUUAAAGCGGCAGUCGGUCUGUACAUGUGUGAGGUGGCGAGGGGUGUCGCCAGGGGGCGGCUAGUAGCGUCUGCCACCAGGGAAAUAUGUAAAAACAUAAAAAAGACGCCUCUCAAGAAAGAGAGGGGCAGUCGGUCUGUACAUGCGUGAGGUGGCGAGAGGCGUGUCCAGGGGGCGGCUAGUAGCGUGUGCCACCGUGGAAAUAUGUACAGACAUAAAGAAGACGCCCUCAAGAAAGGCCUGAGUCCAGACCGAGACCCAGAGAAAUGUAAACAAACGCACCAGUCAGACUUGAUAUAGGAGUGAAUUUGUUGCUUUUUAAAGCGGCAGUCGGUCUGUACAUGUGUGAGGUGGCGAGGGGUGUCGCCAGGGGGCGGCUAGUAGCGUCUGCCACCAGGGAAAUAUGUAAAAACAUAAAAAAGACGCCUCUCAAGAAAGAGAGGGGCAGUCGGUCUGUACAUGCGUGAGGUGGCGAGAGGCGUGUCCAGGGGGCGGCUAGUAGCGUGUGCCACCGUGGAAAUAUGUACAGACAUAAAGAAGACGCCCUCAAGAAAGGCCUGAGUCCAGACCGAGACCCAGAGAAAUGUAAACAAACGCACCAGUCAGACUUGAUAUAGGAGUGAAUUUGUUGCUUUUUAAAGCGGCAGUCGGUCUGUACAUGUGUGAGGUGGCGAGGGGUGUCGCCAGGGGGCGGCUAGUAGCGUCUGCCACCAGGGAAAUAUGUAAAAACAUAAAAAAGACGCCUCUCAAGAAAGAGAGGGGCAGUCGGUCUGUACAUGCGUGAGGUGGCGAGAGGCGUGUCCAGGGGGCGGCUAGUAGCGUGUGCCACCGUGGAAAUAUGUACAGACAUAAAGAAGACGCCCUCAAGAAAGGCCUGAGUCCAGACCGAGACCCAGAGAAAUGUAAACAAACGCACCAGUCAGACUUGAUAUAGGAGUGAAUUUGUUGCUUUUUAAAGCGGCAGUCGGUCUGUACAUGUGUGAGGUGGCGAGGGGUGUCGCCAGGGGGCGGCUAGUAGCGUCUGCCACCAGGGAAAUAUGUAAAAACAUAAAAAAGACGCUUCUCAAGAAAGAGAGGGGCAGUCGGUCUGUACAUGCGUGAGGUGGCGAGAGGCGUGUCCAGGGGGCGGCUAGUAGCGUGUGCCACCGUGGAAAUAUGUACAGACAUAAAGAAGACGCCCUCAAGAAAGGUAAGGCCGGUUCCAGCUUUUAUUUUUAUUUAUUUAUUUCCAUCCCGGCCUGGGACCCCCCCUUUCCCGAGUCCUGAGGUGUUGGGGGACGG